AUUGAACGCUGGCGGCAGGCUUAACACAUGCAAGUCGAGCGAGCGGCGGACGGGUGAGUAAGGUAUGGGAAACUGCCUGAUGGAGGGGGAUAAAUACUGGAAACGGUAGCUAAUAACGCAUACCAUCAGAGGUGCCCAGAUGGGAUUAGCUAGUAGGUGGGGUAAUGGCUCACCUAGGCGACGAUCCCUAGCUGGUCUGAGAGGAUGACCAGCCACACUGGAACUGAGCCACGGUCCAGACUCCUACGGGAGGCAGCAGUGGGGAAUAUUGCACAAUGGGCGCAAGCCUGAUGCAGCCAUGCCGCGUGUGUGAAGAAGGCCUUCGGGUUGUAAAGCACUUUCAGCGAAGAGGCGUUACUCGCAGAAUAAGCACCGGCUAACUCCGUGCCAGCAGCCGCGGUAAUUC
rnacentral:rRNA from 1 species